rnacentral:lncRNA from 1 species
CCAAGUAACGUUUAUUAUAACAAAAUAAAUUUAUACAAUCGUCAGAUUACUACUCCGACACUACAGCCAGAACCAUUGGUCAGUUAAGUUUCCGGUCAAAACACGUCUGGAAUAUCUUAGUUUCAGAAACAGGGAAAAAGCAUAUCUUUGAACAUCAAAAAAGUCAUUAGAGGGGAAAUUGUGGUUAACUCUACCCUAGUCAGACCCCCCCCUCCAAACCAGUUUGUGUCAAAAUUCACGGUUCCAGAAGGUCAGUGAGCCCUGUAAUAUAUUGACAUAUAAAUUGUCAUGUUUUGCCAGGAAUCAGUUGGGAGCUGUUUUACUUCAGUAACUCAAAAAGUCCUAAGAGAGACUGAAAAUGUUAAAGUAGCGCAAGGAACACCGUGAGAGACUUAGAAAUGCUUUAUUUCAGGAACUCGAGGUGUUCUAUGGAACAUUGGCAUUGUUUUGAAGUGCAACUUUGGGAACACCGUACAAGAUCGACAAUGUCUCAAAAGUGCAAGGAGUUCCUUGAAGAAUUGAUAUAAUUUCAAAGGUAUACGUACUUAUCAAGAAAUACCAGUUUAUAAAACGUACUGCUUUCGUUCGGCUUGGAGACUUAUGACGCUUCAGCCAGGUAGCCCCAUCUCCUACUGAAUCAUGUUCAACAAGUCUGUCAGAAAAAAACAUACUGUAUUAUUUAUCUGAGUGUGGAUAUUUUGAAUUAAAAAAAAUGUUUAAAUUUCGAUUGCAAAAAUACAGAAACUACCCAGCAGUUUAAGUUGUUCAAGUAUCUUUUGACUCUACACACAUUAUAAACCCGUGAUUUGUGAAGAGUUAUCUCCUCUGACAUAUCAUUUAAGAUUAAGAAAGCUGUGCAGGUUCCUUAGUAUGAAACUCUUUUUGAAAUGGAGAUAAAUUUCACUUUUAAGUAACAUACAUCCUUUACCUUAAAAAAACCAGUACAAUGGAGCCUACCACACAUUUCAGAAAAAAAUCGUUAUAGGAAUUAAACAACGUUAGAAGAAAUACCAAUUUAAAAAAUGUGAACAAAUCCAGAUCUUCGAAUUCUCUCAAAAACUUCAAAUUUCAAAAAAAUCUCACAAAAAAAGAGUUAAUAAUGUUAUUAUCACAAUACAUGGGCUUUAACAUAUGACACAUGUCAGCUGAUCGUUAAAGUGUAUAGACUUCAUCAGCAUUUUAAACUUAGUUACUUUUACAUUUACAAACAAAAACAACAGACAAAGAAAUUAAGACGCUUGGGAAUGUUCAAAGAUAUCUCAAGACGGUAAUUUGAACAUUUUUUGUUAUCAUCGUUUGAACAUAUUGAAUAUUAAAAUAACUUAAACAUCACACAAAGCCUGAGUUAGCACAUCAAACUGAAGUGAACAAACUCAGAAAGUUAAGUCGACAAUUUACACAGUUUGUCAAGAAGUUAACACAAUCAGUAUUUCAUGUUAACGCACUCAGCAACUUAUGUUAAAAACUCAAUGUCUCAAGUAAGCGAAACUCAGCGACUCAAGGUAACGUACUUAGUGACUCAAGAUAACGUACUCACCAACUUAUGUUAAAAACUCAAUGUCUCAAGUAAGCGAAACUCAGCGACUCAAGGUAACGUACUUAGUGACUCAAGAUAACGCACUCAGCAACUUAUGUUAAAAACUCAAUGUCUCAAGUAAGCGAAACUCAGCGACUCAAGGUAACGUACUUAGUGACUCAAGAUAACGUACUCACCAACUUAUGUUAAAAACUCAAUGUCUCAAGUAAGCGAAACUCAGCGACUCAAGGUAACGUACUUAGUGACUCAAGAUAAAGUACUCAGUAACUCGCAUUAACAAACUCAGAAACUCGAGUUAACGUGCUCAGUAACUAAUGUUAAAAACUCAGUUACUCAAGUCAAUGAACUCAGUGACUCAAGUUAACAUACUAAGUAACUCGAGUUAACGUACCCAGCAACUGAAGUCAACAUACUCAGAAACUCAUGUUAAAAACUCAGUGACACAAUUAAAUGAACUCAGUGACUAAAUUAAACGUACCCAGUAACUCAAGAUAACAUACUUAGUGACUAAAAUAAACGAACUCAGUGACUAAAGUUAAGAAACUCAGUGAUUCAAGUAAACGUACUUAGUGACUCAAGAUAACGUACUAUUAACUCCAGUUAACAUGCCAAGUGACUCGAGUUAACGUACUCAGCAACUUAAGUCAACAUACUCAGAAACUCAGUAAAUAGUCAGUUACUCGAGUUUACGUACUCAGUAACUAAGGUUAACGUACUGAGUCACUCAACGUAAUGUUCUCAGUAACUUAAGUAAAUAGUCAGUAAAUCGAGUAAACGUACUCAGUCAUGUUAUCAUAGUAACUUAAGUUACAAAGAUUAGUAGGAAUAAACUUAACAAGGUAAUGUACUCAAAUUUACAUACUCAGUAAAAAUCAAGUUAGCAUAUUUAAAGUAAGCUAGGUCAACGCACCUAUCAAAAGUAAAAUUAACAUAAUCAGUAAAAAUAAAAAUUUAGUCAGAACUCUUUUUUGAAGUAAAAUUAAAAUAGUAAAAGUCAUAUUAGCAUACUUAAAGUAAGUUAUUUACCACACUUUAUUAAAAGUUACAUAAACAUACUCAGUAAAUGUUCAGUUAAAAACAGCCUUUGUCAACAUCACAUACACAGUAAAAUUAGCAUAUCUUGGAAGUGAAGAUCGAAUUAGAAAAUAUUGAAAAUGUUAAACAGGUAUAUAUACAUGUAGUAGAGUUUUUAACACAUUUCUAUCAAAUAUGUUAUCUACCUAAAUAAAAAGACUGAUAAGCUUAGAACAUACACACAUAUAAUCUGAUAUCUGAAUGGUAAGUCUGGUUCUCACCUUCUUAGGCUUGGCCAUCACAUUAUAAGGCCUGGGUAUCGAAUUGUCUCGAAAUCAGACUUAUAUUCUCAGAUGUUUUGGAAAUCAGACUUCAAAGCUUCGAUUUCAGACUUAAUCUUGGAUUUUAGAGCUCAAAGCUUGAACUUAAGGCCUAUUGUCUCGGAUAUCAGAGGCAUACACGCACAGAUUUCUGACUUUUUUCCGGAUAUCAGACAUUAUUGCUCGAUCUCAGAUUUAAUGUCUCGGAUAACAGACUUGUUGUCUUUGAUAUAAUAUAUAACAACUUUGAUUUUAGACUUAUUGAAAAAAAUAUCAAACUUAUUGAGUUGGAUAUUAGACUUCCAAGCUUUGAUUUUAGACUUAUUGUAUCCGAUUUCAGAUGUACUGUCUCGGAUUUCAGACUUAUUGUCUUGUAAUUGGAUAGGAGGCUAAUUGUCUCGUAUAUCAGACUACCAAACAUGGAUUUCAGACUAAUUGCCUCAGAUAUCAGAUUAUAUGGCUUGCAUUCCAGACUAAUUGUCUCGGAUAUCAGACUACCAAGCUUGGAUUUCAAACCAAUUGACUUGGAUAUCGGAUUAUAUAGCUUGGAUAAGCUAAUUGUCUCAGAGUUGAAGCUAACUAGCUUGUAUUCAAGACUCAUUGACCUGGAUGCAAGGCUAAUUAUCUCGGAUAUCAGACUACCAAGCUUGACUUUCAGACCAAUUGACUUGGAUAUCGGAUUAUAUAGCUUGGAUAAGCUAAUUGUCUCGAAGUUGAAGCUAACUAUCUUGGAUUUCAGACAAGUAGCUGGCUUCGUCAAUACCAACCUGAUACUGUUGUAUAUCACACUAUUGUUGUAUAUCACACUAUCAGGCUUAUACUUUGAUAAUAAAAUACUUGGCUUGUAUAUCAUGGUAUUGAAAUAUUAUUUAUUUGAUUUACAUAAGUUGUGAACCUUAACACUGAACGUCAGUUUGACAGUAACAGCUAAGAUUUCUAGCAAUGUCUCUCCCACCUUUACGGAUUCAAGAUAAACGUGUCACAUGUGCGACAACAUCGAGUAUCCGACACACCCGAUUAAGUCCUAAAACUGAUAUAAAAGGAUUGUUUGGGUUCAAAAUGCAUCAUGAUGCCGUAAUAAAAUCGCCAUUUGAAUCAUUCGAAUGAUAUCUCCUGCCUUAACAGGGACAGCUGAAAUUUUCUGAAGAAAAAAAUUGCAUAUUGCUUUUUUUUACAUAAACUUCUGAUCUCUUUUAGAUUUUCCCAUUCUAUCUCAACAUGCUUUUUACUAAUAUGUGUGUUUGGUAAAAAAAAAUAUUAUCCAAAAUUGCGGGUAAGGGGUGGGAGCAAAGAACGUAGUCUGUUAGUCUGAAGGGCAAAAGGUUAGGAGGGUCCUGGGGUUCGAACCCCGGUCUGGCCGUGCAUUUUUCCUCUCCUGUUACAUUUAUACUAUUUUACCCCAACUGCAGUACGUUUUCAUGACACACACUCUGGAUGAAUGUGGUCACAAUGUCAAGAACAACUGGCCGGGGCCACCCUGUUUUUCCAGUUGUCUUUCCCAGUCAAAUAUAUCCACGUUUUUGUGCAUAUUUGCUGGACACAUAAUAAAGAGAAACACAAUCUCAU